GACAUGGCAGGAAUCCUAAAGAGAUUGAGAGUGCUCGAAAGAGAACCUGCACACAGGUGCUGCAUGGCUGUCGUCAGCUCGUGUCGUGAGAUGUUGGGUUAAGUCCCGCAACGAGCGCAACCCUUGCCAUUAGUUGCUACGAAAGGGCACUCUAAUGGGACUGCCGGUGACAAACCGGAGGAAGGUGGGGAUGACGUCAAGUCCUCAUGGCCCUUAUAGGUGGGGCUACACACGUCAUACAAUGGCCGGUACAGAGGGUAGCCAACCCGCGAGGGGGAGCCAAUCCCACAAAGCCGGUCGUAGUCCGGAUCGCAGUCUGCAACUCGACUGCGUGAAGUCGGAAUCGCUAGUAAUCGCGGAUCAGCAUGUCGCGGUGAAUACGUUCCCGGGUCUU
rnacentral:rRNA from 1 species